GCGGGAAUAGAGCAAGGGCGGCUCGAUGGUCUCAUAAGACAUAACCGGCAGGUUCGACUCCUGCUCCCGCA
rnacentral:tRNA from 1 species